rnacentral:rRNA from 1 species
CGCAAUGGGCGAAACCCUGACGGACCAAGACCGCGUGGGGGAGGAAGGUUCUUGGAUUGUCAACCCCUUUUCCCCAGGGAAGAAGAAAGUGACGGUACCUGAGGAAGAAGCAUCGGCUAACUCCGUCCCACCAGCCCCGGUAAUACGGGGGAUCCAAGCGUUAUCCGGAAUGAUUGGGCGUAAAGAGUCCGUAGGUGGCUCACCAAGUCUCCUGUUAAAGAGCGAGGCUUAACUUCGUAAAACCAGUGGAAACUGAAGAGCUAGAGUAUAGUAGGGGCAGAGGGAAUCCCUGGUGUAGCGGUGAAAUGCGUAGAGAUCAGGAAGAACACCGGUGGCGAAAGCGCUCUCCUGGGGUGGACCUUCCCCUCGGGCACGAAAGCUA